rnacentral:rRNA from 122 species
UUGACCUCGGAUCAGGUAGGGAUACCCGCUGAACUUAAGCAUAUCAA